rnacentral:rRNA from 1 species
AUGAAACAAAGUUUAAUUGGUGUUCAGCACAGUUCUGGUCAAAUGAUUCCGGUGAAUAUUUUGGCUGGUUCUCAUAUUUUGGUUCAAGGAAUUUUUCAAUCUACAACGGCUGCUAGCCAAGUAAUUAGUUUCCAUGAACUGCCAUACCUCAUAUCUCCAUGUUUUCAAAGUGUGCUAACUGAUCAAGAACCUAAUUACGAGGUUUUGCAAUUGUUAUCUCCCCUGAAUUUAUAUUUCUCCAUUACAAGAUUGCAACCUUUUUUAAGUACUGGUACAAGAUGGAAGACACCUUGGCUUUAUCUUUCUUCUUGCAAGCACUCUGAUGAAAAUCUAGCCAUGGUCUAG